rnacentral:rRNA from 1 species
UACGGGGGGAGCAAGCGUUGUUCGGAUUUACUGGGCGUAAAGGGCGCGUAGGCGGCCACCGCAGUUCGGUUGGGAAAUCUCUGGGCUUAACCCAGAAAGGUCAACCGAUACUGCGGGGCUAGAGUGCAGAAGGGGCAACUGGAAUUCUCGGUGUAGCGGUGAAAUGCGUAGAUAUCGAGAGGAACACCUGCGGCGAAGGCGGGUUGCUGGGCUGACACUGACGCUGAAGCGCGAAAGCUAGGGGAGCGAACGGG